UGUACCCGCGGCCUAGCGGUUAGAGCGGUUGCCUUUGAAUCUCUAGUCGCGGGUUCAAUCCCCACUGGGGCAA